rnacentral:rRNA from 1 species
UACGUAGGGCGCAAGCGUUGUCCGGAAUUAUUGGGCGUAAAGAGCUCGUAGGCGGUCUGUUACGUCCGCUGUGAAAACUCGGGGCUUAACCCCGAGCCUGCAGUGGAUACGGGCAGACUAGAGGUAGGUAGGGGAGAAUGGAAUUCCCGGUGUAGCGGUGAAAUGCGCAGAUAUCGGGAGGAACACCGGUGGCGAAGGCGGUUCUCUGGGCCUGUACUGACGCUGAGGAGCGAAAGCGUGGGGAGCGAACAGG